rnacentral:rRNA from 1 species
UACGGAGGGAGCUAGCGUUGUUCGGAAUUACUGGGCGUAAAGCGCACGUAGGCGGCUUUUUAAGUCAGGGGUGAAAUCCCGGGGCUCAACCCCGGAACUGCCCUUGAAACUGGAGAGCUAGAAUCUUGGAGAGGCGAGUGGAAUUCCGAGUGUAGAGGUGAAAUUCGUAGAUAUUCGGAAGAACACCAGUGGCGAAGGCGACUCGCUGGACAAGCAUUGACGCUGAGGUGCGAAAGCGUGGGGAGCAAACAGG